rnacentral:rRNA from 1 species
UGCCAGCAGCCGCGGUAAUACGGAGGGGGUUAGCGCUGUUCGGAAUUACUGGGCGUAAAGCGUACGUAGGCGGACUAUUAAGUCGAGGGUGAAAUUCCGGGGCUCAACCCCGGAGCUGCAUUUGAAACUGCAUUUCUAGAGGAUAGGCGGAGAAAACAGAAUUCCACAAGUAGCGGUGAAAUGCGUAGAUAUGUGGAGGAAUACCCGUGGCGAAGGCGGUUUUCUAGCUUACUCCUGACGCUAAGGCACGAAAGCAUGGGGAGCGAACAGGAUUAGAUA